GAUGAACGCUAGCGGCAGGCUUAACACAUGCAAGUCGUGGGGCAGCGCGGGUAGCAAUACUUGGCGGCGACCGGCAAACGGGUGCGGAACACGUACGCAACCUCCCUCAAAGCGGGGAAUAGCCUCUCGAAAGAGAGAUUAAUACCCCAUAGUAUCUUGGUUCUGCAUGGAACUAAGAUUAAAGCUCCGGCACUUUGAGAUGGGCGUGCGGCUGAUUAGGUAGUUGGUAGGGUAACGGCCUACCAAGCCAACGAUCAGUAGCUGAUGUGAGAGCAUGAUCAGCCACACGGGCACUGAGACACGGGCCCGACUCCUACGGGAGGCAGCAGUGAGGAAUAUUGGUCAAUGGACGCAAGUCUGAACCAGCCAUGCCGCGUGGAGGAUGAAGGUCCUCUGGAUUGUAAACUCCUUUUAUAAAAGAAGAAACCCCGGUAUUCUUACCGGGUUGACGGUACUUUAUGAAUAAGCACCGGCUAACUCCGUG
rnacentral:rRNA from 1 species